rnacentral:lncRNA from 1 species
GUAUUUCAAAUGUUGAAAUUUUCCAAAUAUUUCAAGUAAAAUUCCUAAAAAAAAAAAAACUUUUAAAAAAAGUUCUGUCAGUUGUGAAUUCAAGUGCAAGAAUAAAAUUUUGGUUCUUACCUUCUGCCUAUGAACAAACAAAUUCUAAAUCAGCAUUGUAGAUGAAUCAUGAAGCUGAUGUUGUACACACAUAACAUAAUUUAUUCAAAUCUAUUAAAAUUAUAUCUUCAUUGAUUUAUUUAUGCGCCAAAAUGCUAUGCAGUAUUUAUCCUCCUGUUGGAAUUUGAAAUAGGGAAAAAAAUGUAUCAAAAUCCUUUUAUUUUAACUCAUAAUGAAAGAUAUACCUAUAUAAUUUUUUUCAUAUAACUUUCCUGCAACUGGCUUCUAAAUUACAGGUCACUUUUACAGCUUCAGUAAAAUGCUUGAUAUUUAUGUUAAAGAGGAGCUUCUUUGUAGCCUCCUAACUUGCAUUUGUGACCACAUCUCAAUGAUACUGGUUUAAUUUUAGACAGAUAUUAAGAAGAUAACUGAAUUAGUGCAGUUAAACUUAAUAUCGUUUCAGAGGAAAAUAUAAUUUUUUUUUACAAAAGUAUAAUCACUAUACUCUAGAACUGGCUCCAUGUAUACAAUGCAUGUUUCUGAUAUUUGUACAGAGAACUAAAUUUGCUAUAUUGAUUAUUAGUAGCACUUCCAUGUCAUUGAUGAUUCAAUUCAUUGUGCUACAUUACCUAACCUGAGAUAUAUGAAGACAUAAAUUUAAAAAGUGUGAAACAGCUCAUUGUUUAUCAUACUCAGUUCUGUUGAAAAGCAAAUGACAGAUAUUCAUCUUGCCUUUUAAUAUUGCAGUGCAAAUAUAACUUUGCAUUAAAAUGAAGAUGUUGGAGUUAGAGCCUACUCUGAACUGAGUUUCUCUAAAUUCUCAAUUUUUUUUUUUUCUAAAUAAACUAUUAAAGCAGUCACUAUUAUUAUUAUAAGUGUUAAGGAUUAGCUGGAACGGUAAUAUCAGUCUAAAUACCUUGUGGUAUUUAGUUAUGUCUUUGCUUUACUGAGAUUGGAAAACCCUACAAUUGUGGGCUUGUGCCAAUGUAAGAAAUUGUACAAGCAAAUAUACUGAUAUGGAUUGAAAACAAUACUUGCUUUAUCUUUUUAAAACAUUUAAACUUCGUAAUAUAUAUCUAAGCUACCAUGCUGAAUUAUGGAACUUGAAUUUAAAACACUGAGUUGAUGCAGGUACAGUGUUAGAUAUGUUAGUGUACCUGGUUAAACACCAGAUCAAUUUCAAUUAGACCAAUUUAACAUUUCAUUUGAAGCACCAGUAAUAUGCUGAAGAUCACUGAAUGAUCUCUUCUCUUUGCUCUUAUAAGAUUUUGACCUAAACAACAAAAGUCACUAAUAUAGGUUAACAUUAUCCUGCAGUAAUGAACUCUUUGUGAAUCAAAUCUGCAACCAUGUUUUGAAUCUAGAUUGGAGCCAUUUCAUGUGAUUAGGGAAAAGCAGAAAUACAACUUGUGUGUGUGUGUGUGUGUGUGUGUAUGUGUGUGCGUGUGUCUUCAUAUAUACACAUAUAUAUUUGAAGCAUUGUUUACGUAAAUUAUUAUUAUUCACAGAAUAAGACAAAAUUACUCCCACCUACACAUUUAUAUUUCUCCAGAAAAAUGAGCUACUUAUUCUGUGUACCAUUUUUUAAUAGUCAGCAGUGCUGUAAGGUCACUUGCAUCUUUCCAAAAUGACAUUCCUGGAGAAACAAUAUAUUCAAUUUGAAAAGAAAAAAAAUUAUUUUUUAAAAAUGCUGUUUUUAACCUGAAAAUAAACUAUUUCAGCAAUAAAAUAUUUUAUUUGGAUA